GAAUAUUGGACAAUGGGCGAAAGCCUGAUCCAGCAAUGCCGCGUGAGUGAUGAAGGCCUUAGGGUUGUAAAGCUCUUUUGCCAGGGACGAUAAUGACGGUACCUGGAGAAUAAGCCCCGGCUAACUUCGUGCCAGCAGCCGCGGUAAUACGAAGGGGGCUAGCGUUGUUCGGAAUUACUGGGCGUAAAGCGCACGUAGGCGGACUGGAAAGUUAGAGGUGAAAUCCCAGGGCUCAACCUUGGAACUGCCUUUAAAACUAUCAGUCUAGAGAUCGAGAGAGGUGAGUGGAAUUCCGAGUGUAGAGGUGAAAUUCGUAGAUAUUCGGAGGAACACCAGUGGCGAAGGCGGCUCACUGGCUCGAUACUGACGCUGAGGUGCGAAAGCGUGGGGAGCAAACAGG
rnacentral:rRNA from 1 species